CAAAGAGGAGAAUUCAGUUUUAUGCUGCUAGUGGCCCCUGGGCUGAAAUGGCUCCACCCUUUGUUGAACAAUUAACCUUUUUCGCUUCGGCAGCUGGGCUGACGCUUAUAGUCAGCCUGCCGCUAGACACCUUAACAAAAACCCUUGAUUGUAAUACUAUAGUCUAGCUGUAACAGCAAAAUAUUCGAAUGAAAAUCA
rnacentral:misc_RNA from 1 species